rnacentral:misc_RNA from 1 species
AAUAAAUCAAUCUUUAUUUACAUGAUACAUAUGCACAAACUCCUCAUCUAAUCUGCACAUGUAUGUAUAUCUAUUUCAAUCAUGGAGUGUGACAUACAAAUUCAUCAUUUUUUCAAGAUAAAGAAUAGAAAGGAAUUACAUCACAGAAACAGCUCUGUAAACAGGUGAAGCCGAUGCAUGGAGAUGUGAGUACUGCAGAGAGAUGGCUUGAGAAGACGACCCUGAAUUUUGUUUCCUGGUAUGUAUCUGUUAACCGCUCCUGCUUGCCAAUGGAACCACCUCAGCAAGAGGGGUUGAGAGAGGAGUAGGCAAUGGAGAAGUUCUGCAAACUGGACAAGUAGGGUGCAGACGCAGCCACGGGUCAACACAUUUGAGGUGGAAGAGAUGGCCGCAGUCCGGCAACAGGCGGAGCAUAUCAGUGUUCUUGUAUUCCGCCAAGCAUAUAGAGCAGCAAGUAGAAGUGGAAUCUGCCUUGUGAAGCUUUGCCUCAGAAUACAACAGCUUAGGAUAGCUCUUCAGAGUGGCCUCAUCGAGCCCUACAUCCAUCACAAUAUUCUGCAGCUCAAAUGGCUCUUCUCUAUCCCCUCUCUGGUUGGACACAGGUGAUUGCUGGGUUGUUCUAGCGCAGAAGUAGGAAGCUAAGGUGAUGGUUGUGAUGAGCAAGAGGAUGCCAAUGGAAACUCCUAUGCCAUAACCAAAUCCACCAAUGUUACUAUUAGAACCAAGAAACCCUCCUCCUCCUCCUCCAGACCCAUCUGUG